rnacentral:rRNA from 1 species
CGACACCGUGUGUUGUUGGGUAGGGGAGCGUUCUGUAAGCCUGUGAAGGUGUGCUGUGAGGCAUGCUGGAGGUAUCAGAAGUGCGAAUGCUGACAUAAGUAACGAUAAAGCGGGUGAAAAGCCCGCUCGCCGGAAGACCAAGGGUUCCUGUCCAACGUUAAUCGGGGCAGGGUGAGUCGACCCCUAAGGCGAGGCCGAAAGGCGUAGUCGAUGGGAAACGGGUUAAUAUUCCCGUACUUGGUGUUACUGCGAAGGGGGGACGGAGAAGGCUAUGUUGGCCGGGCGACGGUUGUCCCGGUUUAAGCGUGUAGGUAUGUGUUCCAGGUAAAUCCGGUUCACUUUAACACUGAGGCGUGACGACGAGGCACUACGGUGCUGAAGCAACAAAUGCCCUGCUUCCAGGAAAAGCCUCUAAGCAUCAGGUAACAUCAAAUCGUACCCCAAACCGACACAGGUGGUCAGGUAGAGAAUACCAAGGCGCUUGAGAGAACUCGGGUGAAGGAACUAGGCAAAAUGGUGCCGUAACUUCGGGAGAAGGCACGCUGACACGUAGGUGAAGUGAUUUACUCACGGAGCUGAAGUCAGCCGAAGAUACCAGCUGGCUGCAACUGUUUAUUAAAAACACAGCACUGUGCAAACACGAAAGUGGACGUAUACGGUGUGACGCCUGCCCGGUGCCGGAAGGUUAAUUGAUGGGGUCAGCGCAAGCGAAGCUCCUGAUCGAAGCCCCGGUAAACGGCGGCCGUAACUAUAACGGUCCUAAGGUAGCGAAAUUCCUUGUCGGGUAAGUUCCGACCUGCACGAAUGGCGUAAUGAUGGCCAGGCUGUCUCCACCCGAGACUCAGUGAAAUUGAACUCGCUGUGAAGAUGCAGUGUACCCGCGGCAAGACGGAAAGACCCCGUGAACCUUUACUAUAGCUUGACACUGAACAUUGAGCCUUGAUGUGUAGGAUAGGUGGGAGGCUUUGAAGUGUGGACGCCAGUCUGCAUGGAGCCGACCUUGAAAUACCACCCUUUAAUGUUUGAUGUUCUAACGUGGACCCGUGAUCCGGGUUGCGGACAGUGUCUGGUGGGUAGUUUGACUGGGGCGGUCUCCUCCUAAAGAGUAACGGAGGAGCACGAAGGUUGGCUAAUCCUGGUCGGACAUCAGGAGGUUAGUGCAAUGGCAUAAGCCAGCUUGACUGCGAGCGUGACGGCGCGAGCAGGUGCGAAAGCAGGUCAUAGUGAUCCGGUGGUUCUGAAUGGAAGGGCCAUCGCUCAACGGAUAAAAGGUACUCCGGGGAUAACAGGCUGAUACCGCCCAAGAGUUCAUAUCGACGGCGGUGUUUGGCACCUCGAUGUCGGCUCAUCACAUCCUGGGGCUGAAGUAGGUCCCAAGGGUAUGGCUGUUCGCCAUUUAAAGUGGUACGCGAGCUGGGUUUAGAACGUCGUGAGACAGUUCGGUCCCUAUCUGCCGUGGGCGCUGGAGAACUGAGGGGGGCUGCUCCUAGUACGAGAGGACCGGAGUGGACGCAUCACUGGUGUUCGGGUUGUCAUGCCAAUGGCACUGCCCGGUAGCUAAAUGCGGAAGAGAUAAGUGCUGAAAGCAUCUAAGCACGAAACUUGCCCCGAGAUGAGUUCUCCCUGAGACUUUAGGUCUCCUGAAGGAACGUUGAAGACGACGACGUUGAUAGGCCGGGUGUGUAAGCGCAGCGAUGCGUUGAGCUAACCGGUACUAAUGAACCGUGAGGCUUAACCUU